UGACCUCAUUUGAAAAUAGUGAAACAAAUCUCCAUCCAUCUCCACCCCUGGUUUUUUCCUUUGAUUUAAAGGGUUUUCCACAUAAAUUUUAUUGUUUGUGUUGAUCUUUGCCUCUUUGAUUUCUCUUUUAGUAACAUCUUGUAACAACAAACUCCUAGAGGCCAUACCUGAGAUCAAGGAUUAUAGAGCGUGUGAGAAAUGGAUCGAGGG
rnacentral:lncRNA from 1 species